rnacentral:rRNA from 1 species
CUGUGAGCUCGAUGAGUAGGGCGGGACACGUGGUAUCCUGUCUGAAUAUGGGGGGACCAUCCUCCAAGGCUAAAUACUCCUGACUGACCGAUAGUGAACCAGUACCGUGAGGGAAAGGCGAAAAGAACCCCGGCGAGGGGAGUGAAAAAGAACCUGAAACCGUGUACGUACAAGCAGUGGGAGCCUCUUUAUGGGGUGACUGCGUACCUUUUGUAUAAUGGGUCAGCGACUUAUAUUCUGUAGCAAGGUUAACCGAAUAGGGGAGCCGAAGGGAAACCGAGUCUUAACUGGGCGUUAAGUUGCAGGGUAUAGACCCGAAACCCGGUGAUCUAGCCAUGGGCAGGUUGAAGGUUGGGUAACACUAACUGGAGGACCGAACCGACUAAUGUUGAAAAAUUAGCGGAUGACUUGUGGCUGGGGGUGAAAGGCCAAUCAAACCGGGAGAUAGCUGGUUCUCCCCGAAAGCUAUUUAGGUAGCGCCUCGUGAAUUCAUCUCCGGGGGUAGAGCACUGUUUCGGCAAGGGGGUCAUCCCGACUUACCAACCCGAUGCAAACUGCGAAUACCGGAGAAUGUUAUCACGGGAGACACACGGCGGGUGCUAACGUCCGUCGUGAAGAGGGAAACAACCCAGACCGCCAGCUAAGGUCCCAAAGUCAUGGUUAAGUGGGAAACGAUGUGGGAAGGCCCAGACAGCCAGGAUGUUGGCUUAGAAGCAGCCAUCAUUUAAAGAAAGCGUAAUAGCUCACUGGUCGAGUCGGCCUGCGCGGAAGAUGUAACGGGGCUAAACCAUGCACCGAAGCUGCGGCAGCGACGCUUAUGCGUUGUUGGGUAGGGGAGCGUUCUGUAAGCCUGCGAAGGUGUACUGUGAGGUAUGCUGGAGGUAUCAGAAGUGCGAAUGCUGACAUAAGUAACGAUAAAGCGGGUGAAAAGCCCGCUCGCCGGAAGACCAAGGGUUCCUGUCCAACGUUAAUCGGGGCAGGGUGAGUCGACCCCUAAGGCGAGGCCGAAAGGCGUAGUCGAUGGGAAACAGGUUAAUAUUCCUGUACUUGGUGUUACUGCGAAGGGGGGACGGAGAAGGCUAUGUUGGCCGGGCGACGGUUGUCCCGGUUUAAGCGUGUAGGCUGGUUUUCCAGGCAAAUCCGGAAAAUCAAGGCUGAGGCGUGAUGACGAGGCACUACGGUGCUGAAGCAACAAAUGCCCUGCUUCCAGGAAAAGCCUCUAAGCAUCAGGUAACAUCAAAUCGUACCCCAAACCGACACAGGUGGUCAGGUAGAGAAUACCAAGGCGCUUGAGAGAACUCGGGUGAAGGAACUAGGCAAAAUGGUGCCGUAACUUCGGGAGAAGGCACGCUGAUAUGUAGGUGAAGCGACUUGCUCGUGGAGCUGAAAUCAGUCGAAGAUACCAGCUGGCUGCAACUGUUUAUUAAAAACACAGCACUGUGCAAACACGAAAGUGGACGUAUACGGUGUGACGCCUGCCCGGUGCCGGAAGGUUAAUUGAUGGGGUUAGCGGUAACGCGAAGCUCUUGAUCGAAGCCCCGGUAAACGGCGGCCGUAACUAUAACGGUCCUAAGGUAGCGAAAUUCCUUGUCGGGUAAGUUCCGACCUGCACGAAUGGCGUAAUGAUGGCCAGGCUGUCUCCACCCGAGACUCAGUGAAAUUGAACUCGCUGUGAAGAUGCAGUGUACCCGCGGCAAGACGGAAAGACCCCGUGAACCUUUACUAUAGCUUGACACUGAACAUUGAGCCUUGAUGUGUAGGAUAGGUGGGAGGCUUUGAAGUGUGGACGCCAGUCUGCAUGGAGCCGACCUUGAAAUACCACCCUUUAAUGUUUGAUGUUCUAACGUUGGCCCCUUAUCGGGGUUGCGGACAGUGUCUGGUGGGUAGUUUGACUGGGGCGGUCUCCUCCUAAAGAGUAACGGAGGAGCACGAAGGUUGGCUAAUCCUGGUCGGACAUCAGGAGGUUAGUGCAAUGGCAUAAGCCAGCUUGACUGCGAGCGUGACGGCGCGAGCAGGUGCGAAAGCAGGUCAUAGUGAUCCGGUGGUUCUGAAUGGAAGGGCCAUCGCUCAACGGAUAAAAGGUACUCCGGGGAUAACAGGCUGAUACCGCCCAAGAGUUCAUAUCGACGGCGGUGUUUGGCACCUCGAUGUCGGCUCAUCACAUCCUGGGGCUGAAGUAGGUCCCAAGGGUAUGGCUGUUCGCCAUUUAAAGUGGUACGCGAGCUGGGUUUAGAACGUCGUGAGACAGUUCGGUCCCUAUCUGCCGUGGGCGCUGGAGAACUGAGGGGGGCUGCUCCUAGUACGAGAGGACCGGAGUGGACGCAUCACUGGUGUUCGGGUUGUCAUGCCAAUGGCACUGCCCGGUAGCUAAAUGCGGAAGAGAUAAGUGCUGAAAGCAUCUAAGCACGAAACUUGCCCCGAGAUGAGUUCUCCCUGACCCUUUAAGGGUCCUGAAGGAACGUUGAAGACGACGACGUUGAUAGGCCGGGUGUGUAAGCGCAGCGAUGCGUUGAGCUAACCGGUACUAAUGAACCGUGAGGCUUAACCUUACAACGCCGAAGGUGUUU